rnacentral:rRNA from 1 species
CCUACGGGUGGCUGCAGUGGGGAAUAUUGGGCAAUGGGCGCAAGCCUGACCCAGCAACGCCGCGUGAAGGAAGACGGCUCUCGGGUUGUAAACUUCUUUUCUCAGGGACGAAGAAAGUUACGGUACCUGAGUAAUAAGCCACGGCUAACUACGUGCCAGCAGCCGCUGUAUUACGUAGGUGGCAAUCGUUCUCCGGAUGUAUUGGGUGUAAAGGGCGUGUAGGCGGGAGCGCAAGUCAGAUGUGAAAAUUCAGGGCUCAACACUGAGCCUGCAUUUGAAACUGUGUUUCUUGAGUGCUUGUGAGGCAAUCGGAAUUCGGAGUGUAGCGGUGAAAUGCGUAGAUAUACGGAGGAACACCAGUGGCGAAGGCGGAUUGCUGGACAGUAACUGACGCUGAGGCGCGAAAGCGUGGGGAGCGAACAGGAUUAGAUACCCGGGUAGUC